ACACAGCUUGUGGUGCUCAUGG
rnacentral:siRNA from 1 species